UACGUAGGGUGCAGGCGUUAAUCGGAAUUACUGGUCGUAAAGCGUGCGCAGGCGGUUUCUUAAGUCAGAUGUGAAAGCCCCGGGCUUAACCUGGGAACUGCGUUUGAAACUGGGAGACUUGAGUGUGGCAGAGGGGGGUGGAAUUCCACGUGUAGCAGUGAAAUGCGUAGAUAUGUGGAGGAACACCGAUGGCGGAGGCAGCCCCCUGGGUUAACACUGACGCUCAUGCACGAAAGCGUGGGGAGCAAACAGG
rnacentral:rRNA from 1 species